rnacentral:tRNA from 1 species
GGUCCCAUAGCUCAACUGGAUAGAGCACUUGACUACGAAUCAAGAGGUUAGAGGUUCGAAUCCUCUUGGGACCGCCA